GGCUUCCUGAUGGUGAAUGACUGAAAGUGAAAAGAAAACAGAAGUCAGUUGGAGUAACUUCAAUAUUCAUCUGGAACUGCAGAUUCAACACCACCCACCACACCAAGAAAGCCCUUUCCUCCCAGCACUGAUGAAUUUAUUCAAUGAAACCUUUACAGAGGCUGGAAGUCCAACAGAAAUAGCCCAAGGCAAGCUCUUCACGAUGCACCAUGUUCCCACUUUCUUCGGAGCAGUUUACCUCUGGGUGCCUCACUUUAGUAAUCAGUGUCACAUGCACUAAGGAAGCCCAGUCUCUCCAAAAGAUUCCUUUUACUGCUUACAGUUAAGUAAAGGAAAAAGUUCCAGUAACUUCAGUGCUGGCAAAUGCUGACUUUUCAGUAGUGAUGACAAGACACUGUAAUAUGUGCUACACCCAGCAGUCUUUAGUAGCAAGAUUCAACUUACCUUCUCUUUGGAGAGGGGGAUCUGGACUUUGAUCGGCUGCAAAACAGAAAGAAACACUGAGUGACAACUCAAAGUUACAUUACAUUACAUUACAACAAAACAAGUUCUCCCACACUUAACAACAGUGAGAAACUCUCUGGAACCUUAGUCACCAUUUUAUAUAGGUAUCACUGGCAAAGCGUCCAAAAUCUUUUACGAGGAUUUGUUGGAGCAUCAAAUUAAUCCCCACCAUCCCUACUACAGCUGGAGCUAUAUAUGCCUUUGCAGCAAACCCUUUUAGGUGUUUUAAGAACAAUAUUUAACUGUCACAACAAUUCUGUGAUAUAGGGGUGGAGGAGAAGAACAAGUUUAAGUAAGAGGAAUCAGUACCGUGGUGGAAACUAAACAGUUAAAACAAAAUAUGGGGUAGGGAAAUCACCCUCCACUCCCCAUCUCAGUAAAUAUUCAUGACCUUUGUAGUAAAAAUCCCAACUAUUAAAACUUAGCAAUAACAUCCUUCAAAUACAAGUGAAAUACUGGUCCAAGCAAAGGGCUUUGUGAAUCAUGAUGAAGCAAUACUGACUUCUAAAAGAUCUAGUGCAUUACAUUACAUGCUCACCUUUUAGCAGGUGAGCCAGAUUUAGAUCUACCAUGGGACCCAGACCUACAAUGGGAGAGAAAUAAGGCUCAGCAAGGCACCAGUGGGAUGCACGUACAGUGAAGUUACCUAAACCAGUGAUGAUAAAAUUCAUACUACAUGCCAAGAAAACUGUGGAGGGCUGGUAACUGACAGGCAGAAAUCCAAUGUUGUCCAUGAAAGUAGAUGCAUUUUCUAGAUAGUUUCAUCAACAAAUAAUAUUUUAGUUUUCCAGUAUUCAAGCCUUUCCUCAACUAUUUCCGCAUUUCAUAAGCUUUGAUGUUGUCAGAAUUGUGAUUGCUAUGUUUAGAUAAACCUUGAACUAUUACAGGGGUCAGCAAACUUUCA